AUGCCUAGCGACAAGGCCCCGGGGCCGGAUGGCUUCACCGGCCUAUUCUUCAAGAAGUGUUGGGCCAUCGUCAAGCUUGACCUCAUGGCGGUGAUCCAGCGCUUCGACUCCCUACACACAACAAACCUCCACUGGCUCAACUCUGCGAAUAUUGUGUUGCUUCCCAAGAAGGAUGGGGCGGAGAGCAUCGUUGACUUUAGGCCUAUUAGUCUCAUUCAUGCGGUCGCCAAGCUCAUCGCCAAAGUGCUCUCUAGUAGGCUUGGACCGCACAUGUCCGCCCUCGUCUCCAACGCCCAAAGUGCCUUCAUCAAAACGCGGAGUAUCCAUGACAACUUCAUGUCUGUUAGGAACCUUGCUCGUCGCCUGCACAAGAGCAAGACCCCUUCUCUCCUGUUCAAGCUGGAUAUUUGCAAGGCCUUUGACUCCAUCAAGUGGGAGUAUUUGCUUGACCUCCUGCGGAGGCGUGGCUUCCCUAGCAAAUUUCGGGAGUGGAUUGCGGCUCUCCUUUGCUCCUCAUAUUCGAGGGUUCUCUUGAAUGGGGUAGCCGGCUCUCCCAUCAAGCAUGGCCAAGGGCUUCGGCAGGGAGACCCCAUCUCUCCUCUCCUUUUUGUCAUUGCCAUCGACCCUUUG
rnacentral:rRNA from 1 species